rnacentral:lncRNA from 1 species
UUGUUCCUUUAUUGAACUUCCUGCACUACAAUCCAUCAGAGGGAAUAGAUUCACUGCAUUAUUAUGUGUUGCUUUCAGGUUUCUGCCUGCUGGAAGAAAAGAUCAAAUGAUACUGCAAUUUUGGCCAUUCUAUCAACCAUGGUGAAAAUCCUUUAUGGGUUGACUCCAUUUUCAAAGCUGUGAAGUUUCCUAGGUGAAUUUCUUCUCUCUGAUUUAUUUUGGUUGAAUUUGUGGCAGCUGAUGUAAGAUGCCAUUGAUUUUAUAUGGAGUUAUUAGACUUUGAAAACAGACAACACAGGUGGGAGGUUAUUAUUUCGGUUUUUUUCCAAAGUUAUCAGAGAGUUAAUAAACAAUGAAUCUUAUGUGUAUGAUCCGUGGUGGCCCACAUAUGGACACCAUCAGAUGUUGGGACGUGUACCUCUUUCCUUCGUCAAAGAUUAAUGGCUAUAACCUGGAGUGAGUGCUUAAUCAUCAAUGUUAUCAAUUGCCGUUGGAUUUGGUUUUGGAAUGCUCACAUCACAUCAUAUGUAGAUUGUAGAUAUAUCAAUGGGUACCAUUUGCAGAACGCCAAGUGCAGGGCCCGCCGCAAAGACAGCGGCCUUGGGAUUGUAUAAAGACAUGUGGUGCAUCCCACUGCCUUUUGUCUUUUUAUCAUAUGGAAUUUUUUAGUAGACCACGUGGAAGUGGUGAGAGAAUCUUUGUUACUCUG